GCCUUUUGUAAGGAGGAGCAGCGCGAGUGCGGUGCGAGUCCUUCAAAUUAGAAUAGUGAUGAUGAUCUUGUCACUGCUGAGAUUUUCAUGCAUCAACAGCCACUACAUCUGGAUCAGAUUGAACAAGAAACAGACAGCAAGGGUUGUCAGGUCAGAAACAGAAUGACACACAAACACUUCACAGGCAUAUCAACAUGCAAUUUGAAGACGUGUGAUAAAAUACAGAGAGGUGAAGUAGUGUGUCUUUCCAGAUCCCCAAAUCAUUCCCCCUUAAAAGAUGAGCCUGAAGAGGAGAUUUGGGAAGAUGCUGUUUCAUAAGUCGCUUUGCCUGAUCACAUGUGGUCGGGAUGUCUGCUAACAAGAUGCCUUGCUGGUCUGGGUGAGUAUAAAGGCUUACACAGACAGUCCAGAGGUUCUGAAGUCCAUCUUCGAUCUCAUUGGACGAUUUAAGGUGUAGAAACAUCUCAGCAACCCCAAGAGAAAUUGGAGGCAACUGUGCUAAAUUGCAGAUGAUGUUGCAAAGGGUCUGAAUAUGUAUAAUAUGCUGUCAUCGUAUUAAGUACAGCAUGAGCCAGAAUGGAUGGGUGGUGGUGGCCAUAAGAAGACUGUCAACUAAACCAACAACAAAAUUCAUAUUUGCAGUUUUUCUUGAAUAAAGUUUUUCUAUUCAGAUGAA